CACCUCUGGUCAUGGGCAGAGACACCUUCUUGUUGGUGGUGUUCUUAUAUCUGUUAGUGGCAGAGCAGAUGGCAGUCCUUUGUCAGUCCUAGCUUGAUGACUGGCUUGGAGGCCCAAUCUGUUUUAUGUCUAGGAUACAUAA